rnacentral:misc_RNA from 1 species
GAUGAAGAACGUAGUGAAAUGCGAUACUUGGUGUGAAUUGCAGAAUCCCGUGAACCAUCGAGUCUUUGAACGCAAGUUGCUCCCGAAGCCAUCAGGUUGAGGGCACGUCUGCCUGGUCGUCACAUAUCGUUGCCCAAUGCCUAUUGCAGUGCAAUAGGAAUUUCUAGGGCGAAUGAUGGCUUCCCGUGAGCGUUGUUGCCUCGCGGUUGGUUGAAAAUCGAGUCCUUGGUAGGGUGUGCCAUGGUAGAUGGUGGUCGAGUUAGAACGAUACCGAUCAUGUGCAUGCUCCCCAAAAUAUGGCCUCUAUGACCCACACGCGUCUUUUGACGCUCAUGACGAGACCUCAGGUCAGGCGGGGCUACCCGCUGAAUUUAAGCAUAUCAAUAAGCGGAGGA